rnacentral:rRNA from 1 species
UAGGGAAUCUUCGGCAAUGGACGGAAGUCUGACCGAGCAACGCCGCGUGAGUGAAGAAGGUUUUCGGAUCGUAAAGCUCUGUUGUAAGAGAAGAACGAGUGUGAGAGUGGAAAGUUCACACUGUGACGGUAACUUACCAGAAAGGGACGGCUAACUACGUGCCAGCAGCCGCGGUAAUACGUAGGUCCCGAGCGUUAUCCGGAUUUAUUGGGCGUAAAGCGAGCGCAGGCGGUUAGAUAAAUCUGAAGUUAAAGGCUGUGGCUUAACCAUAGUACGCUUUGGAAACUGUUUAACUUGAGUGCAGAAGGGGGGAGUGGAAUUCCAUGUGUAGCGGUGAAAUGCGUAGAUAUAUGGAGGAACACCGGUGGCGAAAGCGGCUCUCUGGUCUGUAACUGACGCUGAGGCUCGAAAGCGUGGGGAGCAAACAGGAUUAGAUACCCUGGUAGUCCACGCCGUAAACGAUGAGUGCUAGGUGUUGGGUCCUUUCCGGGACUCAGUGCCGCAGCUAACGCAUUAAGCACUCCGCCUGGGGAGUACGACCGCAAGGUUG